AGAGCGGUCCUCAGGAGCAGCAGGCAUCCAGCGUAUCCUGCCGCCGCCUGACCCAGAAACUCCAUGAUUUUGUGUCCUUUAUCAAGCAGACAGCAGAGAAGCGACUGAGCUCACAGACCCACUUGGAGACGUUAAACGUUGGCUUGGGCAGAGAAUGGAUCAGGAGCUCCUGACCACCCCAGUUCGAUUCUCCAAACCUCUGAGAGUAGGCAUUUGUGCUGACUGGCAGUACCCAGAGGGCCGACAUCUGUUGCCUGCAAGGAUUGACUAGGAAGCUGGACAGCUUUCAAGUACAUCUAACAGUCAUGGCAAGUCUAAUGCUGGUAAAUGGUGCAGAAUCAAUCAUGCAGUCCAGUUUUGAUACAGUUCUAAAACCUCAUAUUCCUGACUAAGGAAGCCAGAGGUAAAGGGACAAUGGUCUCUUUCUUCCCCUGAAGUUAUUUCUGUUAGCUGGUAAACCAGAG
rnacentral:lncRNA from 1 species